rnacentral:rRNA from 1 species
UGGAUUCGCUAGUAAUCGCGCAUCAGCCAUGGCGCGGUGAAUACGUUCCCGGGCCUUGUACACGCCGCCCGUCAAGCCAUGGAAGCCGGGGGUGCCUGAAGUGUGCAGCCGCAAGGAGCGCCCUAAGGUAAAACCGGUGACUGGGGCUAAGUCGUAACAAGGUAUC